rnacentral:rRNA from 1 species
UACGUAGGGGGCAAGCGUUGUCCGGAAUCAUUGGGCGUAAAGCGCGUGUAGGCGGCUUGGUAAGUCCGCUCUGAAAGCCCGGGGCUCAACCCCGGGAGGCGGGUGGAUACUGUCAAGCUCGAGUCCGGAAGAGGCGAGUGGAAUUCCUGGUGUAGCGGUGAAAAGCGCAGAUAUCAGGAGGAACACCAAUGGCGAAGGCAGCUCGCUGGGACGUGACUGACGCUGAGACGCGAAAGCGUGGGGAGCAAACAGG